rnacentral:rRNA from 1 species
CUACCCUUGACAUGUACGGAAUCCUGCUGAGAGGUGGGAGUGCCCGAAAGGGAGCCGUAACACAGGUGCUGCAUGGCUGUCGUCAGCUCGUGUCGUGAGAUGUUGGGUUAAGUCCCGCAACGAGCGCAACCCUUGUCCCUAGUUGCUACGCAAGAGCACUCCAGGGAGACUGCCGGUGACAAACCGGAGGAAGGUGGGGAUGACGUCAAGUCCUCAUGGCCCUUAUGGGUAGGGCUUCACACGUCAUACAAUGGUCGGAACAGAGGGUCGCCAAGCCGCGAGGUGGAGCCAAUCCCAGAAAACCGAUCGUAGUCCGGAUCGCACUCUGCAACUCGAGUGCGUGAAGCUGGAAUCGCUAGUAAUCGCGGAUCAGCAUGCCGCGGUGAAUA